AGCUGAUCACUGGGCGUAAAGCGUGCGCAGGCGGUCUUGUAAGACAGAGGUGAAAUCCCCGGGCUCAACCUGGGAACUGCCUUUGUGACUGCAAGGCUGGAGUGCGGCGGAGGGGGAUGGAAUUCCGCGUGUAGCAGUGAAAUGCGUAGAUAUGCGGAGGAACACCGAUGGCGAAGGCAAUCCCCUGGGCCUGCACUGACGCUCAUGCACGAAAGCGUGGGGAGCAAACA
rnacentral:rRNA from 1 species